CAAGCCGUAAACGAUGAGCACUAGGGAGAGGAGACCCCGAUGUCUUCUCUCCUGGAGCAAAUGUAUUAAGUGCUCCGCCUGGGGAGUACAGUCGCAAGGCCGAAACUCAAAGGAAUUGACGGGGGCUCACACAAGCGGUGGAGCAUGUGGUUCAAUUCGAAGCAACGCGCAAAACCUUACCUGGGUUUGACAUGCAUGGAUUAGCCCGUGGAAACAUGGGUGACGCCCGAAAGGGUGGAACGUGCACAGGUGC
rnacentral:rRNA from 1 species